AGUGAACGCUGGCGGUAGGCCUAACACAUGCAAGUCGAACGGCAGCACAGUAAGAGCUUGCUCUUACGGGUGGCGAGUGGCGGACGGGUGAGGAAUACAUCGGAAUCUACUUUUUCGUGGGGGAUAACGUAGGGAAACUUACGCUAAUACCGCAUACGACCUACGGGUGAAAGCAGGGGAUCUUCGGACCUUGCGCGAUUGAAUGAGCCGAUGUCGGAUUAGCUAGUUGGCGGGGUAAAGGCCCACCAAGGCGACGAUCCGUAGCUGGUCUGAGAGGAUGAUCGGCCACACUGGAACUGAGCCAGGGCCCAGACUCCUCCGGGGGGAACCAGUGGGGAUUAUUGGAGAAGGGCGGCAAGCCUGAUCCACCAAUCCCGGGGGGGGGAAGAAGGCCUUCGGUUUGUAAAGCCUUUUUGUGGGGAAAAAAAAGCAGCAGGUUAAUCCCCCGCUGUUCUGACGGUACCCAAAAAAUAAGCCCCGGCUAACUUCGUG
rnacentral:rRNA from 1 species